UAUAGGUAGAGAUUCUAUGGAAUCUGGGAUCCCUGCAGGAGGAAGGUCCUGGAGAAAGGCAGGUUUAGGAGAUCCCAGCAUGAGCAGCUCAGCACCCACAGCUGUGCAAAGCAGGGUGAAACAAUGGGGAAGGAGAAACCUGGCAACCCAGAAAUGCUGGCUGGAGGGAAGGGAAAGGACAGGAAGCUGCUCACACACAGCUUGAAACACCCUCAUUCCAAAUGUGCAGGGCUCUGGUACACCACUUCCUGCAGGAAACAGUGGCAGCAGAGCACAGGAAACCCCAGCACUACAAGAACUCAACUCCCUGCAAGGCCAGAACACCACAAAGUUCCCCCUGCCAUAAAAAGGGCAUCUCCAGCUUGCAGAUUCCCCUCACAAACCUUUGUGCAUUUGGGCAGAGCAGGAUUUAUUCAUCCUCAACUCCGCUUCAAUCCUGCGCCCCAGAAAAGCCCGAAACUCUCACAGGCUGGGAUGGAGCAGGAAGAGGUGCCACUGUCACCCUGUCACAUGCACAGAGCUCGUGGCACAGCCUGCAGCACUUGGAAGCAAAUCCAGCCAUCUGAAAU